GAUGAAGAACGUAGCGAAAUGCGAUAAGUAGUGUGAAUUGCAGAAUUCAGUGAAUCAUCGAAUCUUUGAACGCACAUUGCGCCCCUUGGUAUUCCGGGGGGCAUGCCUGUUCGAGCGUCAUUAUCACCCCUCAAGCUCAGCUUGGUGUUGGGGCCUGCCCGUCACAGGGCAGCCCUUAAAAGCAGUGGCGGUGCCAUCUGGCUCUACGCGUAGUAAUACUUCUCGCGACAGAGUCCCGGUGGUGUCCUGCCAGAACCCCCCAUAUUUUUAAUGAUUGACCUCGGAUCAGGUAGGGAUACCCGCUGAACUUAAGCAUAUCAAUAAGCGGAGGA
rnacentral:misc_RNA from 1 species